AGUGAACGCUGGCGGUAGGCCUAACACAUGCCAGUCGAACGGCAGCACAGUAAGAGCUUGCUCUUACGGGUGGCGAGUGGCGGACGGGUGAGGAAUACAUCGGAAUCUACUUUUUCGUGGGGGAUAACGUAGGGAAACUUACGCUAAUACCGCAUACGACCUACGGGUGAAAGCAGGGGAUCUUCGGACCUUGCGCGAUUGAAUGAGCCGAUGUCGGAUUAGCUAGUUGGCGGGGUAAAGGCCCACCAAGGCGACGAUCCGUAGCUGGUCUGAGAGGAUGAGCAGCCACAGUGGAACUGAGACGCGGUCGAGACUCAUACUGAAGGCAGCAGUGGGGAAUAUUGGACAAUGGGCGCAAGUCUGAUCCAGCCAUACCGCGUGAGUGAAGAAGGCCUUCGGGUUGUAAAGCCCUCUUGUGGGGAAAGAAAAGCAGCAGGCUAAUACCCCGCUGUUCUGACGGUACCCAAAGAAUAAGCACCGGCUAACUUCGUG
rnacentral:rRNA from 1 species